rnacentral:rRNA from 1 species
UACAGAGGUCUCAAGCGUUGUUCGGAUUCAUUGGGCGUAAAGGGUGCGUAGGUGGCGCCGUAAGUCGGGUGUGAAAUUUCGGAGCUUAACUCCGAAACUGCAUUCGAUACUGCGGUGCUUGAGGACUGGAGAGGAGACUGGAAUUCAUGGUGUAGCAGUGAAAUGCGUAGAGAUCAUGAGGAAGACCAGUGGCAAAGGCGGGUCUCUGGACAGUUCCUGACACUGAGGCACGAAGGCCAGGGGAGCAAACGGG